CCUACGGGCGGCAGCAGUGGGGAAUAUUGGACAAUGGGCGCAAGCCUGAUCCAGCAAUGCCGCGUGUGUGAAGAAGGCCUUCGGGUUGUAAAGCACUUUUAUCGGGAGCGAAAAGCGGCCGGCUAACACCCGGUCGUGCUGACGGUACCCGAGGAAUAAGCACCGGCUAACUUCGUGCCAGCAGCCGCGGUAAUACGAAGGGUGCAAGCGUUAAUCGGAAUUACUGGGCGUAAAGCGUGCGUAGGCGGUCAUUUAAGUCCGUUGUGAAAGCCCUG
rnacentral:rRNA from 1 species